UGUAAUUUAGUUUAGGUAGAAUAUUUGUUUUUGGUGCAAAAGGGUAUAAUUACAA
rnacentral:tRNA from 2 species